rnacentral:rRNA from 1 species
CUUGGUCAUUUAGAGGAAGUAAAAGUCGUAACAAGGUUUCCGUAGGUGAACCUGCGGAAGGAUCAUUAAAGAAUCGCCCCGUUUUUUGAAAUGGGUUCUAUUCCCAAACCGUGUCUACAUACCUUUGUUGCUUUGGCAGGCCGCCGCUUAGGCGUUGGCUCCGGCUGACUGCGCCUGCCAGAGGACCCAAACUCGUUUGUUUAGUGAUGUCUGAGUACUAUAUAAUAGUUAAAACUUUCAACAACGGAUCUCUUGGUUCUGGCAUCGAUGAAGAACGCAGCGAAAUGCGAUAAGUAAUGUGAAUUGCAGAAUUCAGUGAAUCAUCGAAUCUUUGAACGCACAUUGCGCCCCUUGGUAUUCCGAGGGGCAUGCCUGUUCGAGCGUCAUUAUAACCACUCAAGCCUCGGCUUGGUCUUGGGGUUCGCGGUCUCGCGGCCCUUAAAAUCAGUGGCGGUGCCGUCUGGCUCUAAGCGUAGUAAUUCUCUCGCUAUAGGGACCCGGCGGUUACCUGCCAGAACCCCCCCAUUUUUACGGUUGACCUCGGAUCAGAUAGGGAUACCCGCUGAACUUAAGCAUAUCAAUAAGCGGAGGA